GUUUGCACUCAUCGGGGAAGGGUGAGAACCUUCGACUAAGGUUCGAUUCGAGCGAAAGCGAGAGAACGUUGCCACAGGCAACGGCCCGAAGGGAGAAGCGCGAAGCGAAGAAUAAUCCUUCCCCCACCACCA
rnacentral:sRNA from 1 species